GACGAACGCUGGCGGCGUGCUUAACACAUGCAAGUCGAACGGAAAGGCCCUGCUCUUGCUGGGUGCUCGAGUGGCGAACGGGUGAGUAACACGUGAGUAACCUGUCCUUGUCUUUGGGAUAACUUUAGGAAACUGCGGCUAAUACCGGAGAGGAUCUCCUGAAGCACGGUGGGGAUUGGAAAGUUUCGGCGGUUGUGGCUGGACUCGCGGGUUAUCAGCUGGAUGGUGGGGUAGGCGCUUACCAAGGCUUCGACGGGUAGGCGGCCUGGGAGCUGGACCGGGCACCAGGCGACUAAGGUACGGACCAGACGCCAACGUUACGCAGCAGGCGAGAACCUUACGCAACGAGCCGAAGCCAGUUGCGACGACGCCCGGUGCGGAAUGCCGGCCUACGGGUUAUAAACCACUGUCGCAUGAAACGAGGCCUGAGUGACGGUAAUUGGUAAGAAAGCAACGGCUAACUACGUG
rnacentral:rRNA from 1 species